CCUACGGGAGGCAGCAGUGAGGAAUUUUCCGCAAUGGGCGAAAGCCUGACGGAGCAAUACCGCGUGAGGGAUGAAGGAUUUUGGUCUGUAAACCUCUUUUCUCAAGAAAGAAGUUCUGACGGUACUUGAGGAAUAAGCAUCGGCUAACUCCGUGCCAGCAGCCGCGGUAAUACGGGGGAUGCAAGCGUUAUCCGGAAUGAUUGGGCGUAAAGCGCCUGUAGGUUGUUUAUUAAGUCCGUUGUUAAAGCCUAGGGCUUAACCCUAGAAAAGCAAUGGAAACUAGUAGACUAGAGUAUGGCAGGGGUAGAGGGAAUUUCUAGUGUAGCGGUGAAAUGCGUAGAUAUUAGAAAGAACACCGGUGGCGAAAGCGCUCUACUGGACCAUUACUGACACUCAGAGGCGAAAGCUAGGGUAGCAAAAGGGAUUAGAUACCCCUGUAGUCCUAGCCGUAAACGAUGGAUACUAGAUGUUGUGCAUUAUGUAUAGUAUCGUAGCUAACGCGUUAAGUAUCCCGCCUGGGGAGUACGCUCGCAAGGGUGAAACUCAAAUGAAUUGACGG
rnacentral:rRNA from 1 species